rnacentral:rRNA from 1 species
AUGGACGAAGUCUGACCGAGCACGCCGCGUGAGUGAAGAAGGUUUUCGGAUCGUAAAACUCUGUUGUUAGAGAAGAACAAGGAUGAGAGUAACUGUUCAUCCCUUGACGGUAUCUAACCAGAAAGCCACGGCUAACUACGUGCCAGCAGCCGCGGUAAUACGUAGGUGGCAAGCGUUGUCCGGAUUUAUUGGGCGUAAAGCGAGCGCAGGCGGUUUCUUAAGUCUGAUGUGAAAGCCCCCGGCUCAACCGGGGAGGGUCAUUGGAAACUGGGAGACUUGAGUGCAGAAGAGGAGAGUGGAAUUCCAUGUGUAGCGGUGAAAUGCGUAGAUAUAUGGAGGAACACCAGUGGCGAAGGCGGCUCUCUGGUCUGUAACUGACGCUGAGGCUCGAAAGCGUGGGGAGCAAACAGGAUAAUAC